GCUUGAUUUGGAUGUGAAUAUCCCUGGCAGCUGCGUGCUAAUAAAGUCCACAAUUUAAAAUUAGCUAAUUUCUGGGUAUAACACUUCAACCUCCUGCUGAGGCAUAAAUGUUGAUAAAGCCAAAGCCUCAGAUAAGGAGAUAAUCUCUAGCCUGUGGGCAGAGCACUUGUUGCCUCAGUGCUUUCUACCCUCCCACUCCCCACCCCUUGAGAACAGCUGAUCUCCCUCCUCACUCAUCCCUGGAGAUGAGCGACUGGCUAAGAGUAUUUAGGUGUCACACAUGGAAAAGAGAGACAGACAGUUUCAACUUCUUGUCCAUCUCUUCUUCCCUUUGAGAAAACCCAGUCCAGGGAUUCCUCAGAGACUGAAUGAUCUGCUUCCCACUGAUAAAGAAGGCCCUCUUUGGGCUUUUCUUCUUGAUACUAACUGUUUCCUCAGGUCUUUCCAGAAAGGAAAGUCAAAUAGACCUGGCCUGGAUAUGAACCCAGAAGUAUCAUAAGUUUUCCCUCUCAUACUUCUGCAUUUCUUUCUCUAGAAGCACCAAAGUGCUUCGAUAUCUUACUAUAUUGUUAUUCUGGCUCGAACAUGAUGCAUCCUCAAGCCACAGAGUUCUUUGUAUAAAUGAUAUCUGAUCGAAACCACAUGUCUUUAUGAUUCUGGCAGCCUGAAUGUAUCAAGUAUUUAAGCCAACCAUCAUACCACUGCACCCAAGAGUACAAUCCUAUCUGUGCCCAGAAUGGUAUAACAUAUAAAAAUGAAUGCAUAUUUUGCAGUGCAAUGAGGCCUGAUGUAUCUAUUCUUCGAUUUAAGCACUUUGGUCGGUGCUGACUCCUUGGGAUUUUAAAGCCUGUGCACUGCCAUGACUUCUAAGGCUUGGUAUAUCCUAUACCAGUCAUGUUCUCCUCACUUGGUACCAGGAAAUUGAUAGUUAUUAAUUCUUUUUUGUCUGAAUAUUGUAAGAAAAAGCAGUGUACUUUGUGCUUAUUUUCACAA